AUUGAACGCUGGCGGCAGGCCUAACACAUGCAAGUCGAGCGGAUGAAGGGAGCUUGCUCCUGUAUUCAGCGGCGGACGGGUGAGUAAUGCCUAGGAAUCUGCCUGGUAGUGGGGGAUAACGUCCGGAAACGGGCGCUAAUACCGCAUACGUUCUGAGGUAGAACGUGGGGGAUCUUCGGACCUCACGCUAUCAGAUGAGCCUAGGUCGGAUUAGCUAGUUGGUGAGGUAAAGGCCUACCAAGGCGACGAUCCGUAACUGGUCUGAGAGGAUGAUCAGUCACACUGGAACUGAGACACGGUCCAGACUCCUACGGGAGGCAGCAGUGGGGAAUAUUGGACAAUGGGCGAAAGCCUGAUCCAGCCAUGCCGCGUGUGUGAAGAAGGUCUUCGGAUUGUAAAGCACUUUAAGUUGGGAGGAAGGGCAGUAAGUUAAUACCUUGCUGUUUUGACGUUACCAACAGAAUAAGCACCGGCUAACUUCGUG
rnacentral:rRNA from 1 species